GACGAACGCUGGCGGCGUGCUUAACACAUGCAAGUCGAGCGAUGAACCUUUCAUGAAUUUUUCGGAAUGAUUGGAAGAGGAUUAGCGGCGGACGGGUGAGUAACGCGUGAGCAACCUGCCUUAAACAACGGGAUAGCCUCGGGAAACCGGGAUUAAUACCGUAUGAGACCCCGCCUUCACAUGAAGAAGAGGUUAAAGAUUUAUCGGUUUAAGAUGGGCUCGCGUCUGAUUAGCUAGUUGGUGAGAUAAAAGCCCACCAAGGCAACGAUCAGUAACCGGCUUGAGAGAGUGAACGGUCACAUUGGAAAUGAGACACGGUCCAAACUCCUACGGGAGGCAGCAGUGGGGAAUAUUGCACAAUGGGGGAAACCCUGAUGCAGCGACGCCGCGUGAGGGACGACGGCCUUCGGGUUGUAAACCUCUUUUAGCAGGGAAGAAGCGAAAGUGACGGUACCUGCAGAAAAAGCACCGGCUAACUACGUGCCAGCCGCCGCAGUAA
rnacentral:rRNA from 1 species